CCUACGGGGGGCAGCAGUGGGGGAUAUUGCACAAUGGGGGAAACCCUGAUGCAGCGACGCCGCGUGGGCGAAGAAGUAUUUCGGUAUGUAAAGCCCUAUCAGCAGGGAAGAAGAAAUGACGGUACCUGAGUAAGAAGCACCGGCUAAAUACGUGCCAGCAGCCGCGGUAAUACGUAUGGUGCAAGCGUUAUCCGGAUUUACUGGGUGUAAAGGGAGCGCAGGCGGCACGGCAAGCCUGAUGUGAAAGCCCGCGGCCAAACCGCGGAACUGCAUUGGGAACUACCGGGCUGGAGUGCCGGAGGGGUAGGGGAAAUUCCAGGGGUGGCGGUGAAAUGGGUGGAAAUUAGGGGGAAAACAGGGGGGAAGGCGGCCUACUGGACGGUGACUGACGCUGAGGCUCGAAAGCGUGGGGAGCAAACAGGAUUAGAUACCCCUGUAGUC
rnacentral:rRNA from 1 species